rnacentral:rRNA from 1 species
GACGAGCCUCACAAACGUUAUUCGGAAUUACUGGGCUUAAAGGGUGCGUAGGCGGCGUAGAAAGUUGGGUGUGAAAUCCCUCAGCUUAACUGAGGAAGGGCGCCCAAAACUACUAUGCUCGAGGGAGCUAGAGGAGUGCGGAACUUAGGGUGGAGCGGUGAAAUGCGUUGAUAUCCUAGGGCACACCUGUGGCGCGAGCGGCACUCUUUCUCUCUUCUGACGCUGAGGCCCGAAAGCUAGGUUAGCAAACGGG